rnacentral:rRNA from 1 species
GGUUAAGCGACUAAGCGUACACGGUGGAUGCCCUGGCAGUCAGAGGCGAUGAAGGACGUGCUAAUCUGCGAAAAGCGCCGGCGAGGUGAUAUGAACCCUUGACCCGGCGAUGUCCGAAUGGGGAAACCCAGUGCAAUCCGUUGCACUAUCGUUAACUGAAUACAUAGGUUAACGAGGCGAACCGGGGGAACUGAAACAUCUAAGUACCCCGAGGAAAAGAAAUCAACCGAGAUUCCCCCAGUAGCGGCGAGCGAACGGGGAGCAGCCCGGAGUCUGAAUCAGCUUGUGUGUUAGUGGAAGCGUCUGGAAAGUCGCACGGUACAGGGUGACAGUCCCGUACACGAAAGCACACUUGCUGUGAACUCGAAGAGUAGGGCGGGACACGUGGUAUCCUGUCUGAAUAUGGGGGGACCAUCCUCCAAGGCUAAAUACUCCUGACUGACCGAUAGUGAACCAGUACCGUGAGGGAAAGGCGAAAAGAACCCCGGCGAGGGGAGUGAAAAAGAACCUGAAACCGUGUACGUACAAGCAGUGGGAGCCUCUUUAUGGGGUGACUGCGUACCUUUUGUAUAAUGGGUCAGCGACUUAUAUUCUGUAGCAAGGUUAACCGUAUAGGGGA